AUGCGAAGUCCCUCCUGGUCGUUCCUGCGCCGCUGGGCCGAAGCCUCGCCCAAGUCCAAGCGCCGCCCACGUUUGCCUCCUCGCCAUGGCCUCCCCUGCUUCGUCUGCUUCGCGGACAGAGCUCCGUCUCCGUCAACGUGUCCUCCCGCCGUCUCUGUUCGCUGUCGGGCUCAAUCGACUCCAGCAGCACCCCCACGGUGUCGCUCCGCUCGGCACCCGAGGUAUAUCCCGGCUCCAUCGAUUUUAGGUCCGUGCUUGUUCCCGCGAGUUAAGAUCGAUCUUGAAAUUCUUCUAUCCAGUGUCUCUCCAGCUUGCAGUAGCAGCUCUCUUCUCCAGUGCGCCCACCAGCCAGGCCGUUCGUCUCCAGCUCUCCGCUCUGGCUCUGUAUUGCGUUGUUCAUUCAAUCAGGGAUCUAUUCCAAGGUCUCGGGUCCGCCCUCUCCAUGGAGAAAGGAGAUAUCUAUUCAUUUUGCGUAAGUGA
rnacentral:rRNA from 1 species